UACGAAGGGGGCUAGCGUUGCUCGGAAUCACUGGGCGUAAAGCGCACGUAGGCGGAUCGUUAAGUCGGGGGUGAAAUCCUGGAGCUCAACUCCAGAACUGCCUUCGAUACUGGCGAUCUUGGAGUCCGGGAGAGGUGAGUGGAACUCCGAGUGUAGAGGUGAAAUUCGUAGAUAUUCGGAAGAACACCAGUGGCGAAGGCGGCUCUCUGGACGGUGACUGACGCUGAGACGCGAAAGCGUGGGGAGCAAACAGG
rnacentral:rRNA from 1 species